UACGGGGGGGGCAAGCGUUGUUCGGAAUUACUGGGCGUAAAGGGCUCGUAGGUGGCCAACUAAGUCAGACGUGAAAUCCCUCGGCUUAACCGGGGAACUGCGUCUGAUACUGGAUGGCUAGAGAUUGGGAGAGGGAUGCGGAAUUCCAGGUGUAGCGGUGAAAUGUGUAGAUACUGGGAGGAACACCAGUGGCGAAGGCGGCUACCUGGACCGGUUCUGACGCUGAGGCGCGAAAGCGUGGGUAGCAAACAGG
rnacentral:rRNA from 1 species